rnacentral:rRNA from 1 species
GAUGAACGCUGGCGGCGUGCCUAAUACAUGCAAGUCGAGCGGAUGGAUUAAGAGCUUGCUCUUAUGAAGUUAGCGGCGGACGGGUGAGUAACACGUGGGUAACCUGCCCAUAAGACUGGGAUAACUCCGGGAAACCGGGGCUAAUACCGGAUAACAUUUUGAACCGCAUGGUUCGAAAUUGAAAGGCGGCUUCGGCUGUCACUUAUGGAUGGACCCGCGUCGCAUUAGCUAGUUGGUGAGGUAACGGCUCACCAAGGCAACGAUGCGUAGCCGACCUGAGAGGUUGAUCGGCCACACUGGGCCUGAGACACGGCCCAGACUCCUACGGGAGGCAGCAGUAGGGAAUCUUCCGCAAUGGACGAAAGUCUGACGGAGCAACGCCGCGUGAGUGAUGAAGACUUUCGGGUCGUAAAACUCUGUUGUUAGGGAAGAACAAGUGCUAGUUGAAUAAGCUGGCACCUUGACGGUACCUAACCAGAAAGCCACGGCUAACUACGUGCCAGCAGCCGCAGUAA